GCGNGNCUACCAUGCAAGUCGAACGAGAAAUUCCGACUCGCUCGGAAGAGUAAAGUGGCGAACGGGUGAGUAACGCGUGGGUAAUCUGCCCUUGAGUUUGGGAUAACUUCACGAAAGAGGAGCUAAUACCGAAUAAAACUGCUCUUGUUCCGGCAAGAUCAGUAAAAGAUGGCCUCUACAUGUAAGCUGUCGCUCAAGGAUGAGCCCGUGUACCAUUAGCUUGUUGGUAGGGUAAUGGCCUACCAAGGCUACGAUGGUUAGCUGGUCUGAGAGGAUGACCAGCCACACUGGAACUGAGAUACGGUCCAGACUCCUACGGGAGGCAGCAGGGGGGGAUCUUGCGCAAUGGGGGAAACCCUGACGCAGCGACGCCGUGUGAGUGAUGAAGGCUUUCGGGUCGUAAAGCUCUGUCAGGUGGGAAGAAAUAUCCGGAUAUGAAUAGUAUCUGGGUUUGACGGUACCACUGAAGGAAGCACCGGCUAACUCCGUGCCAGCAGCCGCGGUAAUACGGGGGGUGCAAGCGUUAUUCGGAAUUACUGGGCGUAAAGAGCGCGUAGGCGGUCUUUUAAGUCAGGUGUGAAAGCCCGGGGCUCAACCCCGGAAGUGCACUUGAAACUAAGGGACUUGAGUAUGGGAGAGGGAAGUGGAAUUCCUGGUGUAGCGGUGAAAUGCGUAGAUAUCAGGAGGAACAUCGGUGGCGAAGGCGACUUCCUGGACCAAUACUGACGCUGAGGCGCGAAGGCGUGGGGAGCAAACAGGAUUAGAUACCCUGGUAGUCACGCAGUAAACGGUGAACACUANGUGUAGCGGGUAUUGACCCCUGCUGUGCCGCANCAAACGCAUUAAGUGU
rnacentral:rRNA from 1 species